rnacentral:rRNA from 1 species
GUAGGGUCCAAGCGUUAAUCGGAAUUACUGGGCGUAAAGCGUGCGCAGGCGGUUGUGCAAGACCGAUGUGAAAUCCCCGGGCUUAACCUGGGAAUUGCAUUGGUGACUGCACGGCUAGAGUGUGUCAGAGGGGGGUAGAGUUCCACGUGUAGCAGUGAAAUGCGUAGAGAUGUGGAGGAAUACCGAUGGCGAAGGCAGCCCCCUGGGAUAACACUGACGCUCAUGCACGAAAGCGUGGGGGGAGCAAACAGGAUUAGAUACCCUGGUAGUCCACGCCCCUAAACGAUGUCAACUAGUUGUUGGGGAUUCAUUUCCUUAGUAACGUAGCUAACGCGUGAAGUUGACCGCCUGGGAGUACGGUCGCAAGAUUA